UACCCUUAAUUGCCAUCGGUUAUGCCGGGCACUUUAGGGGGACCGCCGGUGACAAGCCGGAGGAGGGUGGGGAUGACGUCAAGUCCUCAUGGCCUUUAUGACCAGGGCUACACACGUGUUACAAUGGGAGUUACAGAGGGAAGCUAAGCCGCGAGGCCAUGCCAAUCCCAAAAAAACUUUCUCAGUUCGGAUCGCAGUCUGCAACUCGACUGCGUGAAGCUGGAAUCGCUAGUAGUCGCGGAUCAGCACGCCGCGGUGAAUACGUUC
rnacentral:rRNA from 1 species